rnacentral:rRNA from 1 species
GGCGAACGGGUGAGUAACGCGUUUGGUGACCUGCCCCAAAGUGUGGGAUAACAGUUCAAAAGGAUUGCUAAUACCNCAUGUGGUCUCCGGGUUUANAAACCGGUGACUAAAGCAUUAAUGCNCUUUGGGAGGGACCUGCGUCCCAUCAGCUAGUUGGUGAGGUAACGGCCCACCAGGGCGACGACGGGUAGGGGACCUGAGAGGGUGGCCCCCCACAAUGGAACUGAAACACGGUCCAUACACCUACGGGUGGCAGC